UCAAAUGAGUUGUAGUGUAUAUAUCAGAAAUAUGGGUAUCUUUUAACUACCUAAUUUUAAUUAACCAAAAAUAAGGUGGAUGAUUCCAUACAACGCACUUCGCAAGUACAAAAUAAAUUUGGAUCUCUACUUUCAUU